rnacentral:rRNA from 1 species
CAGCAGCCGCGGGAAUACGUAGGUCCCGAGCGUUGUCCGGAUUUAUUGGGCGUAAAGCGAGCGCAGGCGGUUAGAUAAGUCUGAAGUUAAAGGCUGUGGCUUAACCAUAGUAUGCUUUGGAAACUGUUUAACUUGAGUGCAGAAGGGGAGAGUGGAAUUCCAUGUGUAGCGGUGAAAUGCGUAGAUAUAUGGAGGAACACCGGUGGCGAAAGCGGCUCUCUGGUCUGUAACUGACGCUGAGGCUCGAAAGCGUGGGGAGCAAACAGGAUUAGAUACCCCCGUAGUCCCUGUCUCUUAUACC